rnacentral:rRNA from 1 species
GACUGACUGAGUGCCAGCAGCCGCGGUAAUACGUAGGCGGCAAGCGUUGUCCGGAAUUAUUGGGCGUAAAGGGAGCGCAGGCGGGAAGUUAAGCGGACUUUAAAAGUGCGGGGCUCAACCCCGUGAGGGGGUCCGAACUGACUUUCUUGAGUGCAGGAGAGGGAAGCGGAAUUCCUAGUGUAGCGGUGAAAUGCGUAGAUAUUAGGAAGAACACCAGUGGCGAAGGCGGCUUUCUGGACUGUAACUGACGCUGAGGCUCGAAAGCUAGGGUAGCGAACGGGAUUAGAUACCCCGGUAGUCCUANCCGUAAACGAUGGAUACUANGUGUGGGAGGUAUCGACCCCUUCCGUGCCNGAGUUAACGCAAUAAGUAUCCCGCCUGGGGAGUACGCCGCAAGGUUAAACUCAAA